rnacentral:rRNA from 1 species
CCCUUAGAUGUCCUGGGCCGCACGCGCGCUACACUGACAUGUUCAACAAGCCUCCUAGUUCGACAGGAUUUGGGAAAUCUUUGAACGCAUGUCGUGAUAGGGAUAGAUCAUUGCAAUUAUUGAUCUUGAACGAGGAAUUCCUAGUAAACGCGAGUCAUCAGCUCGCAUUGAUUACGUCCCUGCCCUUUGUACACACCGCCCGUCGUACCUACCGAUUGAAUGUUUCGGUGAAGAUUCCGGAUAGGACUUUUUUGAUUUAUUUCAAUUUUGUCUUAAAAGCUAUCUAAACCUCAACAUUUAGAGGAAGGUGAAGUCGUAACA